rnacentral:lncRNA from 1 species
AUUUCAUACAUUUUACCAUAAUAAAAAAAGUAAAAAAAAAAUGGGUAGAAAAAUGGUGUUUGACAAAACAUCCUAGAGAAAGGUAUGGAAAGAAAAGGAUUACCAAGUCCACGACUAUGACAUAAGCCCCUUUUGGAGAUUUGGGAAAAUCAUUUAGAGCAGAAAUCUGUUUGGAAAAUUAAAAUUAAUGGAUUCAACUCCUGACUAUGAAUUGCAAGGAGUAUACUACAUAGCAGUGGCCAAUGACACUGGCUUUCAGUGUUUCAAAGUAUAUCAAAGCAGUUUUAAUUUUCUUUUUUUUUUUAAAGCAGGGUCUUGCUUUGUGGCUUAGGCUGGAAUGCAGUGGCAUGAUCAUAG